CUGUUAUCAGAGAAUUACCUUUGGGUGUGAUUAGGCAGCGGCCAGACAACCGUAGGGAUGGUAUCCACAGAUGGCGGGCUAUUCUAUCUCGUUUUCAUCUACUCAAUUCCAUCUCACAUUU